rnacentral:lncRNA from 1 species
CUCGCGAACUCGAAUCCAACUAUUCAGUUUAGCAUUACCCAGCCAAGGUAUGUGUUUUACUUGUGGCGGAUGGUACGUAAUUAUCAGGGGGCCACGUGUAUUGUCGGCUGAUGGGUCGACUCACAUGCAAUUGCAAGCUUUUUCGGCGACCGGCGGAUGACCUAUCAACAUUUCUCCCAUCUGUUUUUGGAUUGGAUUGGAUUGGCUUGGAACUGGUAUGUAUCCACUGCAUCCAUCUUGCUCAUACAGUUUGUGUUGGGGUGCUGCCAUUUUAGGCCUCAAAAGUAAAUUAAAGUGUCAACUAAGGGCUUUCUUAAGAGUGAAAAGGUUUCCAAUAAGCCCCUUGAAUGAAAUAAGAAACGCUCCAAUUGACUACUCUCGUUUAGUGCCACUGCCACUAGAGUGAUGUAUGAUGUAGUAUUUUUCCUUUUGCAAUAAAAGUCCACAAAAAAUAAUUAAAAUCCAUCUAAGCCACUCUUUGACUGAUAGUUAGGAUUAGGGUCUAGUACGGCUGCCAGGGGUGGGCAAAAAAGUUCGCUGAUCGAAAAAUCCGUGGAUUCGAUCCGAUUUGCUCAGAAAAAUAGGGUACCCGCUUAUAUGGGAGGUUGGUUUGGAUUAGAGACUAAAAAGCGUAAAUACUCGACAUUCCUCGCUUAUAUAUUUUUAAGUUUUUAUUUUAUGUAUAUGUACAAAAAUAUUAUUUUUAGAGCUAACAAAAUAAUUUUAGAAUUAAUUUUCUAUGUACUGACAGUAUAUACAUUUUCACCAUUAGAUGCAUGAUACAUAAUUCGAAUUUAAAUAUAAAACUCAAAUUUUGCAUGUGUCGUAUAUCCAACUGUGAUAGUGUAUACACCGUCAAUGUAUAUAAGAUUUAAUCAUAAUUUUAUUAAGCAAAUUAUACCCCAAAUAUGAGCACCUAUAAUUUGUUUACAAGAUUCAUUUGUAAAAAUCAUGAACUUAUUUUUUUUUUAGAAAAAGGUUUAAUUGAUGUAGAACAGUACAUAUAAAAAGAUUUCAUUACUUUUGGAUUCUUUUUUCUUAUUAUUCUCUUUACAUGUUUAUUUCUCAACAUGAAACUUUUUUUUGGAUAUUUAUGUUGAAUCUUAGGUAAAUAUAUAAAAUAUAAAAGUAAAUUAGUAUAAAUUAUUUUUAAAAAAAUUAAAUGAUGAGAAAGGCGGGACAAUACCCGAUGAUGAAAUACCCAUUAAUAUGCGGGGCGAAUAAAGUUCAC